rnacentral:rRNA from 1 species
CACGUAGGGCGCGAGCGUUGUCCGGAAUUAUUGGGCGUAAAGAGCUCGUAGGCGGCCUGUUGCGUCCGCUGUGAAAGCCCGGGGCUUAACCCCGGGUCGGCAGUGGAUACGGGCAGGCUAGAGGUAGGUAGGGGAGAAUGGAAUUCCCGGUGUAGCGGUGAAAUGCGCAGAUAUCGGGAGGAACACCGGUGGCGAAGGCGGGUCUCUGGGCCGAUACUGACGCUGAGGAGCGAAAGCGUGGGGAGCAAACAGG